CUUAGCCGGGGGCUGACAGCUCCCUCCCCGAGGGGCCACGUGGGCGCUAAUGGUGACCAGCUGUCGCCUCGGAGCCUCUGUGCAAUUGACGCAUCUCGGAGGCCACGGUCACGUCCCGAGAGCAGCACAACAGAGACGAAGGACCAUCAGGAACUCUCCAGAACCUGUCGCCGGGCCUCUGCGGGCGAGGAGCUCUGUCCACCUUUUGGAAGGUGGAAGUGACCAGACUUUAAAGAGGCCGUCUUGCUGACUGAUCUAAAUCUGGCCUAAUUCCAGAAAGGUCGAAGACAGCCCUCCACUGGUGACACAUGUGAGUACAGAGUGGACACUCACCCAGGAAAGUCCCUCGGGACCCCAGGCCUCCCCGGAGUUCCACAUUUUCAUUAAAAGCUCCUUUACAACCUCCGGCAGGGGUCUUAUCCUUGGAGCCAGUAGGCUGACAGAGACGCAGGCAGGGGCACAGGAAAUGUCUUCCUCCUCUGUAUUCAGGCUUGCCCGGCUCUGCGGGGCCCACCGGUCCUCGGCCUGGAGCAGGGCCCCCUCGGACACGCGGUCUGCUUGUUGGAAGCUCAUCGUUCAAGCCCAGCCGAGGAUUUUGGAAUAUGAGACUUCCUUAAAUUAAGCCUCAUCAGGCAGCGAAAACCAAAUUUAACUAACAGCGUCACGAGGUUAUGGAGACUACUCUGACGUAUCGCCAGAGGAUUCAUGUUCCAGACGAGUCCUGUCAGCUGCGGUGUCAUCAGAAAAUCUCUGGCAGCCGGAGCGGAGGGCGCUGGUCUCUGCCCCACUCACCGUAUUGAUCCAAAGAAGAUUUUCCACGUUACGCGGCUCCAAACCGAGCAUCCGCGACACCACCGUGACAUCUCAUCGCGAUGGUCAUGGGGGCACGGGGCUCUCACGGGCUUGCCCUCUGUGCCCCCAACUUGGGGACCCCAGGCCGCCCUUUUAAAGAGCACGCUUGACCCCUGGGUGGCGGCAGCUUGGCUGGGAGGCCCGGGCGCUGAGCGCCCCCGGGGGCUCCAGGUCAGCGCGAGGCUGACCCCCGGCCUCCAGAUGGGUCCGCACCCAAGGCGUCGCGUCGGCGCCCUGGUUUCCCCUGCAUCCUGGCCCCCAGGGGUGCCGUCAUCUUAAUGUCCCCGCUGACAAUUUGCCCCCCAAAGGAGGCUCGCUUUUGUUGACAGAGGAAGCCCACAAUAAAUUAUUUAUUUUGA